UACGGGGGGGGCAAGCGUUGUUCGGAAUUACUGGGCGUAAAGGGCUCGUAGGCGGCCAACUAAGUCAGACGUGAAAUCCCUCGGCUUAACCAGGGAACUGCGUCUGAUACUGGAUGGCUAGAGGUUGGGAGAGGGAUGCGGAAUUCCAGGUGUAGCGGUGAAAUGCGUAGAUAUCUGGAGGAACACCGGUGGCGAAGGCGGCAUCCUGGACCGGCAUUGACGCUGAUGAGCGAAAGCUAGGGGAGCAAACGGG
rnacentral:rRNA from 1 species